CCCUAUGGGGUGCAUCUGGUCGGUCAACAAUCCUCCGGUGAUUUAUUUUCGCUGGUUAAAGCGAACGCUUUACUGAUCAUACCGGCGGGAGUAAAAUCACUUCCUGCAGGAACAGAAGCUGACAUCAUCCUGCUGGAUUCAUUAUCCGUACCGUAAAGGACAUCGAUAUGAAUAAGCUCAAUAAGGUUUUUCUCAUCACCAAUGUAAUCGGGUUAAUCGAUGCAAUUUACCUGAUCAUCGUCAAGUUCGCCAAUAAUAAGGCGCUGUGCAUUCAAGGAAUUGGCGGGGGAGC
rnacentral:rRNA from 1 species